UGAAAUGAUGAUAGUUAUUGUGCCCCAAUCUUAAUUCGUACCACAUAGUGUAAGAUGGUGAAUUACAUUCCAACUCUCUUG